CACAUAAAAAUGAGCCCAUCUAAACGAGCCGUGAUAUCUAAGCCCAAUAAGAAUAGAUCACGGAGAAGUUGUUUACGAUCUGUGAAAUCACGUUUUUGUAACAGCGUUUCGUUGGAAAAUUUAAUUUUGCUCCGACGUUGAGCUCCGUCCGGUGGAAUCUCCGAUUAUUUAUCCUCUGUGAUCACCGUUCAGGCACCUAGGGAUGGCAAUGGGGCGGGGUGGGUGCGGGGCAGGAUGGGUUUGGCGUUAUGCGUGUGCGGGGUGGGUUGAAAUAUGGUUUUGAAAAACUAAUGUGGGGCAGGUUGUGGUUUUGUUGUCUUCUUUUAUUUAAUUUUACUAUAUCCCUGUCGUAUUUACUCAUUAUUUUAAUGUAAUGCUUCCCCGCUAAUAAUUACUAAGUACUGUUGUGUUUUUUUUCUGUUAAAGCUCUAAUUUUUAUACCUU